rnacentral:lncRNA from 1 species
UAUUUUUCGCUUUUAUAUAUAUAUAUAUAUAUAUAUAUAUAUAUGUGUGUGUGUGUGUGUGUGUGUGUGUGUGUGUGAGAGAGUUGAGCUCCUAUGCUUUUAAAAGUACGAACUUAUUGAUACUUGUAAAUUUUUUAUCAUUAGAUUAAAGAAUGUGUGAUUAGUAUGAUGUGUGCUCCCUAGAGUUGAAUGGGUGGUUGGUUGAAUAGUAUAAUCUAAUGAUUAAAAAUGAUAAAAAAUGUAGAUCUAAUGGUAUAUAUAUAUANCGUAAGUUAUUUUUUAUGAUGGAAUUUCUGAAUUGAUGAUUUAUAGCGUUAAAUAUAAUUUAGUGUAUUGAAACUUUUAGAAAAUAAAUUUCGUAGUUUUUUAAAAUUAUAUUAAAAUUCAUCGAGCGGGUAUAAGAUAAACAGUCAAAAUUGACGACCACUUAAAAAUAGAGGAUCGAAUACUUUACAUUAAGAUCAAAGUUAUUGAUCUUUAUUUAGAUAGUGAAUAUAAUUUUUAUCAAAAAUUCAAUUAAUUUCUAUUCUUUUAUACCGUUAAAUUAGCAAAUAUGAGAUAUCAGGUGUUAAAAAUUGUCAAUUUUAAGAACUUUUGAUCGUAAGGUAAAUAAUUAAUCAAAAAAUUAUGAUUAAAAGUUUUAAAUGCUUUGAGUGUCGUUGUUUUGAAAAUUCUAUCAUCGAAAACGACUUAUGAGUACAAAGAUGAUUGUACUUUAAGAGUAUAGAAAUUGGACUUUCUCACUCUCUCUCUCUCUCUCUCUCUCUAUAUAUAUAUAUAUAUGAUUAAGUCCACAUCAU